rnacentral:rRNA from 1 species
UACGAAGGGGGCUAGCGUUGCCCGGAAUGACUGGGCGUAAAGAGCGUGUAGGCGGCCCCUUAAGUCCUGCGUGAAAUCCUGCGGCUCAACCGCAGACGGUCGUGGGAAACUGGAGGGCUAGAGUGCGGGAGAGGAGAGUGGAAUUCCCGGUGUAGCGGUGAAAUGCGCAGAUAUCGGGAAGAACACCCGUGGCGAAGGCGGCUCUCUGGAACGCAACUGACGCUGAGACGCGAAAGCGUGGGGAGCAAACAGG